AGUCUUAUAUGUACCUAUGAAUCAACAGUGGUGGUUAACCUGCAACAUGGGCUUUAAUACAUCCAUGGUCAAACUGGAUCUUGUAAACUAACCCUGAAAGUCGGAAGUUGCGUGCCAGCGGGGGCGUGGCGUGAGCAGGGGGUGUGGCGUGAGCAGGGGGCGUGGCGUGAGCGACUGCUGCAAGCUGCAGUUGGAACCUUCUCUCUGCACUUGACUCAGUCACAUCGGGUAGUGACAAGAAUGUAAUAAAAUGACAGAGGAAAGAAAAACAGACAUAAGAUCUUUUUUCAGUAAGCCUACACCAAAACGCCAAGCAAAAGAGACAGAAAGAACUGAGUAACAGGGAGACCAGGGACAGUCAGGUGGAGAGUCUCAGGUAUGUGUGUUGAGCUUAGUUAAUA